CAGCCGCCGCGGUAAUACGUAGGUGGCAAGCGUUGUCCGGAAUUAUUGGGCGUAAAGCGCGCGCAGGCGGUUCCUUAAGUCUGAUGUGAAAUCUCGCGGCUCAAACGCGAGCGGCCAUUGGAAACUGGGGAACUUGAGUGCAGGAGAGGGGAGCGGAAUUCCACGUGUAGCGGUGAAAUGCGUAGAGAUGUGGAGGAACACCAGUGGCGAAGGCGGCUCUCUGGCCUGUAACUGACGCUGAGGCGCGAAAGCGUGGGGAGCGAACAGGAUUAGAUACCCUGGUAGUCCACGCCGUAAACGAUGAGUGCUAAGUGUUAGAGGGUAUCCACCCUUUAGUGCUGUAGCAAACGCAUUAAGCACUCCGCCUGGGGAGUACGGCCGCAAGGCUGAAACUUAAAGGAAUUGGCGGG
rnacentral:rRNA from 1 species